AAUCUCAAUCCCAUCUGGUUUAUGACCGGGUGUUGGACUUGGACGUGGGCGCUGCCGGUCAAACGGCUCGCCUCAAAUGACUUAGUGGGAUCGCUUGCAUCCGUGACAGACGUAAUAAGUUUCGUCUUGUCCCUUGCUCUGCGUACGCCCGCUCAGAACCAAGCUGUCUUGCCUUCACCGGCCUGACACACUUUUUUGA
rnacentral:misc_RNA from 1 species